GCAUACGGGAUGACUUUGGAUGGUUUCU
rnacentral:piRNA from 1 species